rnacentral:pre_miRNA from 2 species
GAAAACUUGAAAAGUACCAUUGAUUGAAAAAUAGACAUCCAAGAUUCGUACGUUUCAUCACAAGUAAAAAUUUACUCACGGAUUUGCUCAUAAGUAAAAAUUUUACAGUGAGUAAAUUUUUAACUCAUAGUGACGUGGAUGAAUUUCCGGCGUCCAUUUUUCGAUCCAGUGGCAGUUUUCAAAUUUCC